rnacentral:tRNA from 1 species
GGUGGUGUGGUGUAAUGGUAGCACGUGACGUUGUGGCAUGAACUUAUCAUAUCAUAUAUAGAUCCGUUUCAAUCUGGGUUCGAUUCCCAGCACCGCCA